CUUUCGGGCACGCUGCUGUCUUUUGCGUGGCGAUUCCGGGAGUUUUCCUGUCCCCCAACACUGCUCCUCAGUUCCUGCGGUUGGAUUGUAAGCUGCCAUAGUGCACUGUGCAUUUCCAAGAGCAAGAAAAGAUGGAUACAUUUCUGAGGCAGAGGGAGGAGACCAGCUAACAAUUUUCCUGUUGUUCACAGAAGUCUGCUUCAGCCGACCCUUGAAAGGCUUGGAUCUCUUGAACUCUGGAAUCAUGUAUCCAAAUUGCAAUUUGGACAUUCCCACAGAUAUUUCAAUGACUGCAGUUUUACUAUUGCCUAAUGAUCAUGAGAACAUGUGAUUCAUGUGGAAGAGCCUAACAUCUUAGGCAUUUCAUUGGAGUGCAAACAGAAUGCAACAUAUCUACUGAACUGUCAAAAUUUGUUAAUCUCAUACAGUGGUUCAGGAGUGGGUGUCAUUUGAGGAUGUGGCUGUGCAUUUCACCUGGGAGGAGUGGAGGGACUUGAAUGAUGCUCAGAGGAAUUUGUACAGGGAUGUGAUGCUGGAGAUCUUCAGCAGCCUGUUAUCACUGGGGUACUGCAUUAGUAAACCUGAGGUGAUCCUCAAGUUGGAGAAAGGAGCAGAGCCAUGGAUAAUAAUAGAACACCCAAACCAGAGCUCCCAGUAAUGGAGUGCUAUUUUGAAUCUUGCCACUAAGAGGUAAAUCCUGACUCCGUUUGUGUAUUGCCUUGUGCAUGGCUGUGCUCGUGUGUAGGCCGCCAGACCUAGAGAUGGCCCCAGAGCCUGUGUUCACCUAAGGAGUCUUCUUGAGUCUGUGGUGGAUCCCUGUCUGCCCUCAGAGCCCAGGACCCAAAGAGGGGUAUGAGCAAGUAAAACAAAAUGGUGUCCAGCAUGAACCUGACGGGUGUGGUUGGAAUCAGGGUCUCUGGGAUCUUCUUGGGUACGAUGGUCAUUUCAGUAUGCCACAAUUCUGUCCUCAAAUCUCUGGCAACAGUGGGCAGAGAGUACAGCACCAUCAUUUAUUUCUCAUUCUUCACUCUAAUCUUUAUUAUUUUCUUCUUUCUCUUUUGGGAGGUUUAAUUUUCAUCCUUUAUCUAGGUUUUUAGUUAAAGAUUAGUUUAUUGAUUUCAGAUCUUUCCUUUCUAAAAUGUAUACCUUUAUAAAUAUAAAUUUUACU